rnacentral:misc_RNA from 1 species
GCCCACCACUUUCAUCGAGUGAGCAUUCGUCUUCUGGUUACGGGGCCAUAGCUCAGCUGGGAGAGCGCGUGCUUUGCAAGCAUGAGGUCGUCGGUUCGAUCCCGUCUGGCUCCACCAGAUGGUUUGAUCACCGAGAUCUUGACCAUCGUCCGCGAAACAUCACUUCGCAUCCUGCUAGUCUGGAUAGACAGCAGUUUGCGUGUUUUCUGACAUCGUAAAGAGGAGAUCGAUCCGAGUUGGGUCGUGCAGCAUAUUGUUGCGCGGAUCCUUCAUUAUCUCCGGAUCAUUUCGGCGCUCGCUUCCGGCCGUGAGGUUGGAUGCGGGUUGUAAAUGAUCCUUUUAGCGAAGCUUGACCGCCUCGCUAUCGGAACGAUCUUACGAAGCAAGCUGGUCUUUCUAGUCAAUGUCCGGCUGUACGUAGCAUUCAUCGAGGGUGCGCGCCGAAAGGCAAUCGUACAGACAACAUUCUGCCGAGUGUGUGGACAUUGAUAAUGAGAGCAAUCAAGUGCCUUAAGGGUGUUCGGUGGAUGCCUUGGCGCUGAGAGGCGAUGAAGGACGUGCUACGCUGCGAUAAGCCGUGGGGAGCUGCGAAGAAGCUUUGAUCCGCGGAUUUCCGAAUGGGAAAAACCCGGA